UGUAGCUGUAGAUACUUUGAC
rnacentral:piRNA from 1 species